UGAACGCUAGCUACAGGCUUAACACAUGCAAGUCGAGGGGCAGCAUGGUCUUAGCUUGCUAAGGCCGAUGGCGACCGGCGCACGGGUGAGUAACACGUAUCCAACCUGCCGUCUACUCUUGGACAGCCUUCUGAAAGGAAGAUUAAUACAAGAUGGCAUCAUGAGUCCGCAUGUUCACAUGAUUAAAGGUAUUCCGGUAGACGAUGGGGAUGCGUUCCAUUAGAUAGUAGGCGGGGUAACGGCCCACCUAGUCUUCGAUGGAUAGGGGUUCUGAGAGGAAGGUCCCCCACAUUGGAACUGAGACACGGUCCAAACUCCUACGGGAGGCAGCAGUGAGGAAUAUUGGUCAAUGGGCGAGAGCCUGAACCAGCCAAGUAGCGUGAAGGAUGACUGCCCUAUGGGUUGUAAACUUCUUUUAUAAAGGAAUAAAGUCGGGUAUGGAUACCCGUUUGCAUGUACUUUAUGAAUAAGGAUCGGCUAACUCCGUGCCAGCAGCCGCGGUAAUACGGAGGAUCCGAGCGUUAUCCGGAUUUAUUGGGUUUAAAGGGAGCGUAGAUGGAUGUUUAAGUCAGUUGUGAAAGUUUGCGGCUCAACCGUAAAAUUGCAGUUGAUACUGGAUAUCUUGAGUGCAGUUGAGGCAGGCGGAAUUCGUGGUGUAGCGGUGAAAUGCUUAGAUAUCACGAAGAACUCCGAUUGCGAAGGCAGCCUGCUAAGCUGCAACUGACAUUGAGGCUCGAAAGUGUGGGUAUCAAACAGGAUUAGAUACCCUGGUAGUCCACACGGUAAACGAUGAAUACUCGCUGUUUGCGAUAUACUGCAAGCGGCCAAGCGAAAGCGUUAAGUAUUCCACCUGGGGAGUACGCCGGCAACGGUGAAACUCAAAGGAAUUGACGGGGGCCCGCACAAGCGGAGGAACAUGUGGUUUAAUUCGAUGAUACGCGAGGAACCUUACCCGGGCUUAAAUCGCAGAUGAAUUACGGUGAAAGCCGUAAGCCGCAAGGCAUCUGUGAAGGUGCUGCAUGGUUGUCGUCAGCUCGUGCCGUGAGGUGUCGGCUUAAGUGCCAUAACGAGCGCAACCCUUGUUGUCAGUUACUAACAGGUUCCGCUGAGGACUCUGACAAGACUGCCAUCGUAAGAUGUGAGGAAGGUGGGGAUGACGUCAAAUCAGCACGGCCCUUACGUCCGGGGCUACACACGUGUUACAAUGGGGGGUACAGAGGGCCGCUACCACGCGAGUGGAUGCCAAUCCCCAAAACCUCUCUCAGUUCGGACUGGAGUCUGCAACCCGACUCCACGAAGCUGGAUUCGCUAGUAAUCGCGCAUCAGCCACGGCGCGGUGAAUACGUUCCCGGGCCUUGUACACACCGCCCGUCAAGCCAUGGGAGCCGGGGGUACCUGAAGUGCGUAACCGCGAGGAGCGCCCUAGGGUAAAACUGGU
rnacentral:rRNA from 1 species